GCGCAUGUGGCGUAAUUGGUAGCCGCACCAGACUUAGGAUCUGGCGGGGAAACCCGUGGGGGUUCGAGUCCCUCCAUGCGCAC
rnacentral:tRNA from 2 species